GANGCGCNGCCUACCAUGCAAGUCGAGCGGAUGACGGGAGCUUGCUCCUUGAUUCAGCGGCGGACGGGUGAGUAAUGCCUAGGAAUCUGCCUGGUAGUGGGGGACAACGUUUCGAAAGGAACGCUAAUACCGCAUACGUCCUACGGGAGAAAGCAGGGGACCUUCGGGCCUUGCGCUAUCAGAUGAGCCUAGGUCGGAUUAGCUAGUUGGUGGGGUAAUGGCUCACCAAGGCGACGAUCCGUAACUGGUCUGAGAGGAUGAUCAGUCACACUGGAACUGAGACACGGUCCAGACUCCUACGGGAGGCAGCAGUGGGGAAUAUUGGACAAUGGGCGAAAGCCUGAUCCACCAUGCCGCGUGUGUGAANAAGGUCUUCGGAUUGUAAAGCACUUUAAGUUGGGAGGAAGGGCAGUAAGCUAAUACCUUGCUGUUUUGACGUUCCGACAGAAUAACACCGGCUAACUCUGUGCCACACCCGGUAAUACAAAGGGGCAAGCGUUAAUC
rnacentral:rRNA from 1 species